CCUACGGGAGGCUGCAGUGGGGAAUAUUGCACAAUGGGCGCAAGCCUGAUGCAGCGACGCCGCGUGAGGGAUGACGGCCUUCGGGUUGUAAACCUCUUUCAGUAGGGAAGAAGCGAAAGUGACGGUACCUGCAGAAGAAGCACCGGCUAACUACGUGCCAGCAGCCGCGGUAAUACGUAGGGUGCGAGCGUUAUCCGGAAUUAUUGGGCGUAAAGAGCUCGUAGGCGGUUUGUCGCGUCUGUCGUGAAAGUCCGGGGCUUAACCCCGGAUCUGCGGUGGGUACGGGCAGACUAGAGUGCAGUAGGGGAGACUGGAAUUCCUGGUGUAGCGGUGGAAUGCGCAGAUAUCAGGAGGAACACCGAUGGCGAAGGCAGGUCUCUGGGCUGUAACUGACGCUGAGGAGCGAAAGCAUGGGGAGCGAACAGGAUUAGAUACCCGUGUAGUC
rnacentral:rRNA from 1 species